rnacentral:rRNA from 1 species
CAGUGUACCCGCGGCAAGACGGAAAGACCCCGUGAACCUUUACUAUAGCUUGACACUGAACACUGGUCCUUGAUGUGUAGGAUAGGUGGGAGGCUUUGAAGCGUGGACGCCAGUCUGCGUGGAGCCGACCUUGAAAUACCACCCUUUAAUGGCUGGUGUUCUAACGUAGACCCGUAAUCCGGGUUGCGGACAGUGUCUGGUGGGUAGUUUGACUGGGGCGGUCUCCUCCCAAAGAGUAACGGAGGAGCACGAAGG